rnacentral:rRNA from 1 species
AUAACUGAUUGCACCAACAAAUGGUUGAUGCAAUAUUGACUCUGUCAAAUAAAAUUCUAGGUAGAAUUAUGAUAAUGACAUUGUCUGCCUAUAUGUCUUGACCAAAUUACGUGCCAGCAGUCGCGGUAAUACGUAGAAGACUAGUGUUAUUCAUCUUUAAUAGGUUUAAAGGGUACCUAGACGGUAAAUCAAGCCUUCACAGGGACUAAUUUACUAGAGUUACUUACGAGGGGGUAUUAAAGUACUGCAGGUGUAGAGAUGAAAUUCUGUCAUACCUCUUUUCAAAAGAAAAAUUAUGGCACAGGUAUAGGUGAAAGCAUCCCCUUAUGUGAUAACUGACGUUGAAGGACGAAGGCUUUGUGUCGCGAACAGGAUUAGAUACCCCAGUAGUCAAAGCAGAAAAUGAUGAAUGUCAUAGAUUAGAUAUAUAGUUUAUUCUAUAAAUGAAAAUGUAAGCAUUCCACCUCAAGAGUAAUUUGGCAACAUUGGAACUGAAAUCAUUAGACCGUUUCUGAAACCAGUAGUGAAGUAUGUUGUUUAAUUUGAUGAUCCGCAAAAAACCUUACCACAAUUUGAAUAUUUGUAUCUAUCUUUUUUUUUCGUAAAAAAAAGAAAAAGGUAAUUUAUUUACAAGCGUUGCACGGCUGUCUUCAGUUAAUGUCGCGAGACUUUGGUUAGUUCCAUUUAAUUAACGUAAACCCUUACUUUAUUUUUAUAUGAAGUAGUUCCCCGCUAUAUUGGACAUGAUAACAGGGACUAGGAC